rnacentral:rRNA from 1 species
UGAUCCUGGCUCAGAUUGAACGCUGGCGGCAGGCUUAACACAUGCAAGUCGAGCGGGGAAAGGUAGCUUGCUACUGGACCUAGCGGCGGACGGGUGAGUAAUGCUUAGGAAUCUGCCUAUUAGUGGGGGACAACAUUCCGAAAGGAAUGCUAAUACCGCAUACGCCCUACGGGGGAAAGCAGGGGAUCUUCGGACCUUGCGCUAAUAGAUGAGCCUAAGUCGGAUUAGCUAGUUGGUGGGGUAAAGGCCUACCAAGGCGACGAUCUGUAGCGGGUCUGAGAGGAUGAUCCGCCACACUGGGACUGAGACACGGCCCAGACUCCUACGGGAGGCAGCAGUGGGGAAUAUUGGACAAUGGGCGGAAGCCUGAUCCAGCCAUGCCGCGUGUGUGAAGAAGGCCUUUUGGUUGUAAAGCACUUUAAGCGAGGAGGAGGCUCCUUUAGUUAAUACCUAAAGAGAGUGGACGUUACUCGCAGAAUAAGCACCGGCUAACUCUGUGCCAGCAGCCGCGGUAAUACAGAGGGUGCGAGCGUUAAUCGGAUCUACUGGGCGUAAAGCGUGCGUAGGCGGCUUUUUAAGUCGGAUGUGAAAUCCCUGAGCUUAACUUAGGAAUUGCAUUCGAUACUGGGAGGCUAGAGUAUGGGAGAGGAUGGUAGAAUUCCAGGUGUAGCGGUGAAAUGCGUAGAGAUCUGGAGGAAUACCGAUGGCGAAGGCAGCCAUCUGGCCUAAUACUGACGCUGAGGUACGAAAGCAUGGGGAGCAAACAGGAUUAGAUACCCUGGUAGU